CCGUAGCGCGGUGGUCCCACCUGACCCCAUGCCGAACUCAGAAGUGAAACGCCGUAGCGCCGAUGGUAGUGUGGGGUCUCCCCAUGCGAGAGUAGGGAACUGCCAGGCA
rnacentral:rRNA from 2 species